UCAAUCAAAUUCUCUCUUUCAUCGAUCGUUUCUAUAGACGCUAUAUGCAUAUAGUAGUUCGGUCUUAAUGAAUUGACACUUGACUGUGUGGUAAACUAUUUUUCGAUAAAAAAAAUUUGAAAAACACGCCUUGUUUAUUCUGUCAAUUUGAACAAAAAGCAAGCAAAACAAAUUCGGGACAUUUAGUUCAGUUUUUUUUAGUUUUUUAGGGAAGGCAGACCAGUUAGGAUUGGGCGUUUUUACUUGAAAUUUGUUUUAGAUGUUAUUAGAAGUAAAAAAAAAAAAAAACAAAAUGCAAAGAUCUAAUUUUGGCUUGUUGUGAAAUUCAAAAUUAAAGAGUUGACUUCUUGCAACCUCCAGCCCAGAUGUCCCAUGCUAAGAUUUCCUGGCGACGUACGUAAGCAGCACAGGACGGCUUGCCUUUACAGAAAGAGCCAAUCAAAUGAAUAAUGAAGACAAGGAUGCCCACUUUGAGGACAUUGAAGAGCCAUUCGAGAGAUGAUCUAUUCGAGGAUCAAAAACAUGUGGCUAUGGCUGCUUUCUUUAUAUGCGACAAUGAAUAUCGAUGGUCUCCUUAGUUAUCUGGGCGAGAAGAAGGAAGGAGAAUAGCAAAGCCUUCCAUUCUCUGGCCGACAAAGGACCCUUCUCAAAUGUUGGACGAAGGCGUUGCAGAGUAUGCUGACUAUUUUGACUAUUAUGGUUACAGUUCCGGACAAGGUGGUACCUGAAUUGAGUGAUGGAAUAUCAAUUGCGUUUCACGAAUCCGACUGAAAAUUGCAUCAUCUACAUUUAAUGAAGUGGGUUUAGUCCGGAAAGCAGAAGCAUUGUGGGGCUCAGAUUCAGAUACAUUGGACGACCGACGAGCGAGUCUAUUCCAGUUUUAUAAUCGCCGUUUGUUAGAAGUAAAAACCAAAAAACUUGCAGUUUAAAUAAAAAGCCACGCAAGCCAUUUAGACACUUCAAAGUCAA